GACGAACGCUGGCGGCGUGCUUAACACAUGCAAGUCGAACGGUAAGGCCCUUCGGGGUACACGAGUGGCGAACGGGUGAGUAACACGUGGGUGAUCUGCCCUGCACUUCGGGAUAAGCCUGGGAAACUGGGUCUAAUACCGGAUAGGACCACUGCCUGCAUGGGUGGUGGUGGAAAGCUUUUGCGGUGUGGGAGAGGCCCGCGGCCUAUCGGCUUGUUGGUGGGGUGAUGGCAUACCAAGGCGACGACGGGUAGCCGGGCUGAGAGGGUGACCGGCCACGCGGGGACUGGGAUACGGCCCAGACUACUACGGGAGGCAGGAGUGGGGAAUAUUGCACAAUGGGAGCAAGCCUGAUGCAGCGACGCCGCGUGAGGGAUGACGGCCUUCGGGUUGUAAACCUCUUUCAGCACCGACGAAGCGCAAGUGACGGUAGGUGCAGAAGAAGGACCGGCCAACUACGUGCCAGCCGCCGCAGUAA
rnacentral:rRNA from 1 species